UCAGAGAUCCACGUGCCUCUGCCUCUCAAGUUCUAGGAUUAAAGGUGUGUGCCACCACUGCCCAGCAUAAUAGAGCAUUUUAAAUGUUAAUUUUGAUCAUGUUGCUUGAACAACCCAGUUUACAACAUGGCUAACCAAAUUCUCAGUAAAUCACCUCUGAGGAAGAAUCAGAUCUUUUUUACUCAUUAGCUAGACCAAAAUCAGGAGUGUGUACAGUGUCAUAAAAAUGAACAUAAUUAGGAAGAUUGGAGCCCAGUACUAUAAAAAAAAUUUGGAUAAAUAACUUGGUCAUUGUAGUAAAAUUCUAAGAUCAUAAAUAUUUAUCCUUAUGAUGCUAAUGACAAAGGAAAUUGAACAUCACGAAAGUGAGAGACGUAAAGGCACUGGACAGUCUAAUCUAUUACAUAUGGGAAGCAUUACAUCUGCCAGAUCAUCUUGUGUCUUAUAGUUUUUUCUGUCCCCUGAAUGACUGCUUGCUGAAAAAAGUGUCUCAAAUCCCCAGAGAACAGAGACUACAUCUCCUGGACACAAGCUCCCCAAGGUGUGUGACAGCCUGAAACAAUGCGAAUAUAGUGAACAGAUGCUAGCUGAAUGAACCAGAUGUGGAUAAUGUUCUUGAUGGAUUCUUAUUGAUUGAGGAAAAAGGGAUAACACCAGCAAAGAGUGGACACUCUAAAGGAGGAAGGCAGUUUAUUGUAGUGAAACUGCACUGAAGUUUUAUACAUGACCCCUCAAUGCAUACAACAUCACUUUACUCCACACUGUUGCACAAGACACCACUGAACUGCAGAGGCUCAAAGUGCUCUGCAUGAGUUAAUUCUGACACAACACAUUUCCACCGCUCCACCCACAUUCCAUUAGAUAUUGAAAGACCUCCCCCCAGCCUCUGACAGCUCCCACGUGGUGCAUAGUGUCUUUCCGUGUACUUCCUUCCACUAUGCUAGUUAGUUGUCAGAAGCCUGCUUAGGAAAACCGACUUACAUGAGAGGUUCCGACAUUUCUACCUACACGCAGCUCUUGGAAAAUGUGAACACUGGCAAGACAUCUGAGGUAACUAAGAAAAGUAAAGAUAGUAGAAACAUGCACCUGGGGACGAAAACCAGCAAUAUAUAGAGAGUACAUAAAUGCAUGCAUGCAGGGGUGUAUGUAGACGACACCUCUUUCAUCUAACAUCUUGUCUAUAGUACAUUUUAGACAUUACCACAUAUUGCACAAACCCAGAUAUACACACAAUCUGACGUGUCGCUGUGUAAGCCAUCCUCACAGAGGAGAGCUCUACACAACAUUCUGAAUGAGCUUAUUCAUGACUUUUUGGAGAGUAGAAUUGACAGUUCUCUGUGCAGAAAUAUAUUCACAUACACCACAAGUUAGCCAUGGUACAAGGUCUCCUUUCCUAAAUGUAGGAUUCUUUAGCACACUGGAGUUGGUCAACCUCAAAGACCAUGUGUUGUUGCCUGAGACAGUCCAACUUAGCCUCCUGCAUGGAUUCAGACACGGUCCUCAGUCGGUGCAGCUCAGAUCUCCCCCGAGUUUCCACAGAGACACAGACCGUCUGACUCUGUUUCCAGUGCUCAGUCAUGGGAGACAGUCUGUGUCCACCAGGUGUCCCUUCACUGUGGUCACCUCCAAGGCGAGAAGGCAGAGCUGUGUUCCAUUUGAGCAUUCUCGCUCUCAUACUGGCAACCGUCUGGCCACCGUAGGCUGUGAGUCCAGGUGCCUGGUAAUGAAUGGCCUCUUCGUACGAUGGUGGACUUCCUGGCUUCCUCACAUCCACUAUCUGGAACACGUUAUCAACCGAGAGGGCCCAGGUUCUAGACAAGCUAAAGCCCAGAGUUGUUUGGCUUUGGAUUUCUGACUCAUUUUCCUGGAUGAUUCUGCCAGCAAGCUGGCUUUCUUUUCUGAAACUCUUCCUGAUUUGGUCUCUAGCAAAGUCUUUGGAUUUCUCAGACCCCAUGCUGGAGGUCCCGGGCAGCACUUUUUUGUGAGACGUAAAGGAAAAUGACAUGGAAUGCUUUCUAAUUUCCCUCUGGGGUUUGAUCUUGUCUGUCUUUGUGGUGAAGCUCUGGUGUCUGGUGAAGAAGUUUCUUUUGGGACAGGAUGGAGAAGGCAGAGGUGAGCUGUCCAAAGAUUUACCUGGGGAGACUCUGGAAAAUGCUCUGGGUACCAGUCCCUGUGAUGGUGCUAAACCUUGGGUCAAGUUCUUUAUCUUUAAAUCCACUGGUCUCUUGGGCUUGCCUUCAGCUGCCGGGAAGACUUCCUCUGUAAACGGAUCUUCAGCCUCCUCACCCUCUGAACAAGAGGCUUCCUGGGGCAUGGUGAAGUUAUCCUCACUCUUGGUUAGCUUUUGUUUUCUCAUUUGGCCCAUGAGGCACUCUUGUGAGGGUGACAUGUUGGGUUCAGAGAACCGCCUAUCUUGCUGGCCAAUGGAGCUUUUCAGCCUGGCUACCAUGCUAACAAUGGGUUCUGAGCUUGACUCACAGGUGUCCUGUGGGCCCCGGGUAUCCAGGCCAGCGGGCCCCUCCAGCUGCCUGCUGGGAGAAGUGGUGGCACUCAUGGGCUCCACAUCUGGGUCAUUGCUGUCGUAAGCUGAGUCAUUCUGCAGAGUUGACACAUCUGGGAAGAGUUAAGGCGGAGGUGAACAUUUUAUCUAGGCUCUUUCAGCAACAGUAUUUACUACAGGCUGCCCUGUUUAGACCUAUGGUGAUUUGGUGGAAGUGCAUUGGGGCUUGAUCUGACAAUACAUUGAUUACAUUAAAACUUUGCUUCUGUCUAAAAUGAUCUUUAAAUGGCGAGAAAAUGGGAAAAUGAAAUGGAGGGAGGAGGAAGGGAAAGAGAUACAUACGAGGAAAGGAAGAUGGCAAUGCCAAUAUUCUUUAAGGUUUAUUGAUCUGAAUUCAUAGGAUUGAUCCUUUGGGUAGCUCUUGUAUUGGACCAAUUUCCAUUUUAAUGGACUCACAUUCUACUGCAGAGCUGGAACUUCCUUACUCCAACACCAUAACUAAAGUUUACUAAGUAGAAUUAAGAGUCAUUGUAGCUUAGAAUAGGAAGGAGAAAAUUCCAGAUUGAUGAGAAAGAAUGUAGCGGGAGGAGGUGUUGCGGGUAAAUCUAAUCGCAAGGCCUCAUGGUUAACGACUUCCUUACAGACUUCUGACUUGUGCAGGCGAAUCCUGCUUCCAGUACCAGGGAUGCCUUACAUCAAUUUCUGGAUCAUCAGGGACUGGCAUGGGCUUCUCCCCAGAACCACAAGCAAGUGACAGAACGUUCCGUACCUGAACUGUCAGUGUGUUCCAGGGAGUCGUCAGAAGUGAUGCGGGAAUGUGUCGGCAUGUUCUCCCCAAAUAUUUCAAAGCAGUUGUCAAUGAGGAAUUCCACCAAUGUCUUAACCUGUGAGGAAAAUAAUUUAGAGUUCACUGUGGAGUUUUAUAAACAAAACAAUCCCUUCCAAGUUGCUCUGCUGUGCAGUAAGUGUUUAUGAGAGAAGAGUGGCUGGCACAAGGACACCAGUUGAUGAAGUUAAGGCUGUGCUUCCUAAACAACUGGUUUAUGUUUUUACAUAUUUUGUACUGAAAAGUGGAAGACAGACAAGAACAGUGAGGCUCAUCCUGAUACUUUGGGAGGAGUGAUCAGAUCUGAUGCACACUGUAAUAAAACAUGUUAUGAAAGAGUAUAAGAGUGGAUCCUGAUCUUACUGAGAUCAGCAACAAUUGCCCAUGAACUAACUCUUAGUGAUUGCAGUCUCCACUAAAGAAGGAAGCAAGUGGUGGGAAGAACAGUGUGUGUUUCUCCAGUGUGUGCAUGCUCCCAUCCUCAGGCCGGCCUGGUUGGAAACCCCCUGUGGAGCUGGGGCCAUAGGCUGCAGACAGUCUUCCCUCCUACAGAACCUGCUGUUCUAGUCAAGGGUUAAUGUUCUGCGGUCUCUCAGAAUACUUAGAAAACAAAUUCCUAGUAAAGUAAAAGCCCUGUGGUUUUGCAGACCGAGAUCGCUAGUUGGGCUCACGGAAGAGAGCAGUAUGUUUUCAAAACUCACCAAUUAGCUGGCAGAUGCUGUCUUCACUCUCACAUGAUGUCAACAGCGGAAGGGCCUUGAUAUCACCCUGGAAACAUAUUGAAGUUAAAAUAGUGACCUAAGACAUGCAGACUCCCUCCACAAAAUGCACAGACAGCUUUUAUUCAUCUUAAAAAUUAAGACAAUUGCAUUGACUCUGCAUUCUUCUCAGGUCAACAUUAUUGCGGAAGAGCUCAAUCAAUGUGUCUAAUUUAUAAUCUGCUGUUCACUUUACACUGAUAAACAACCCAAACAUUCAACAAAAAGAACAUUUUCCAUCUUCUUACAGUGUAAAUCAAGUUAAAAACAUUACGUUCUUACCUCUGACUGACAUUCAAUCAACGUCUCCAUGUUAUUGGCACUAAGUGUUUUUGACUAAAAGAGAGAAAAAUAACAUCAGUGAAGGUCUCUUGGGCUCUCGUCUGUGGACAAGAUGAAUAAGUAAGUGUGAAGGACUCACGUACCUCCAGACUGCUUGUCAACUUCAUUGGAGAUGGGCCUGACAGUCCAAGGGGGCGUUUCA